GGCAUAGGUCACUCUUACCAGCAAUGGGGCCGGUUUCCUCUGGUGUUGUUUGCCCAGCUUGUCCUUUAGAGCCAGAAAGAAGAGCUUGUCUUCAAGGGAGGCUUCAUAAGGGUAUUUCCGAUGUAAUUGGGGUUGGCAUGCGGGCAGCUGGGCCUAAUAAAUAGAAACACCCAUUCGGCCUCAUUCAGCUGUCCCUGUGAGCCCCACCGAGCAGGAAAGACUCUCCGGCUUGGCGCUGAGCUGGCUCCUAUCUUAAAAAUUCAUCUAAUGCAAAUGGUUACAUUAAUGCAAAAGGCAAGUCACUGACACUAUAAAUAACUUGAGCUGAGUCCUGCCGACAGUGGGACGUCUGACACCGAACUGCUGCACGGUCCCCAGUGCUGAACGAGAGUGACACAGCCUCAACCAUCACCAAUUCCAGAGCAGAGGCCGGAGAGCGGAGAAGAUUUGAAAGCGCCAUGUGUCGGCUUUGAAGAUGGGGGCAAGGGCCACCAGGCAAGGAGCGCAGGUGCCGCUGGAAACUGGAAAAGGCAGGGGAUGCUUUUCCCUCCUGAGAGUCUGCAGAAGGCACACGAGCCUGCCCCCACCCCGGCGGAGGUCAGCCCGGUGAGACAAGUUCUGCCUUCCGACCUCCAGAACUGUCCCCAGGGGAUGUGCUGCAGAGGGGCCAGGGGGCCCACAGUGAGGACCUCUGCCUUCCAGAGAGCUCACACCUCCAGACUGUGGCCAACACACUCAACCACACAUUCUAGAAGGAGCUCUAGACAUGACCUCUCCAGCGUUUGAAUUCUGAGGUCUACGCAUUUGCUUCAGUGAUGAACUUUUCCUGCGGGGCAGAGAAGAAACACAGAGCCCAUGGGUGGUAGCAGAGCUGAGUGUGUCUGCGGCUUUGGGUCCAGGCUUCCGCUCCUCAGUACGGUACAACCAGAUCCACCAAACUGCUGGUCUUGGUCAAACGCACCCCAGGUGAUGGAGAUGUGGAAAGAGCGUUUCUGAACCUCUGAACAUUAUUCUGCUCCACUUUCAAAAGACAAACAUCGCCUGUAGGACGAGAAUGUGCUUCCUGCCAUCGGGGAUGAUGCUGAUGUGGCAAAGGAGCAGCACAAAGAUCCAUGCCCCGAGGGGGACCUCCAGCAGGAAAGGACAGGCGUGGGAUCCAGCAUGGUACCCUUCUGGUGGGAGCAGCAGCGAAGGCUCCAGCGGGCAGCUCACGGACCCUGGGAAGGACGCAUCCUGCUCCCUCCUCCCCCCGGUAGAACGUCCUUUGGGCCAUGUGACCUGGUGAAUCCCUGUGAAACCAGCACUGAAGCUCCAGAUGACUGGCAAAUGCUGUUUCAAGCGAGCCGGAAGUGUCUUAGCUGCCCGAGCCCCUCUGCUCAGCUUUCGUCCAUCUGCAUUUGUCCUGGCCUCCUUCUCUUCGCUCCCGGUCAGCGCAGAUUGGCCCCCGGUCCCCCUGCACGAUCCCAGGGCGCUGCCCAUAACCUGGGCACUCCCCGCCAGAGUGGUGUCUCCUGCCCAGCCCAGGCCUUGAAGCUGUGCUCUUCUGACGAGAAUCGGCUGAAAGGUGUUGCAUACGCCCCUGUUUCCGGUGAUCAGAAGCCACCAGUCGUGAGCUUGCAGAGCUUGGAGGGGUGAACACACACCACUGGCCGGUCCCAGAAAUAAGGAAGGGGAUUGGCUCCUGAAUUCAUGCAGGGGCUCUGGCCCCACUGUGCGGUUCAGAGGCCCUGCUCACACCUGCACUUCGGUGGAAGAGUGGACCCAGAUUCACUUCCGGGGACGAGGCCACGGGCUCAGGUCUUCUCGGAACCACGCCAUUUGCAGAUUAAUUGCCAUAAAUGGAGCAACCAUAAAUGGAGCAUUGGUUUUGUCUUCAGGAAACUGCUGGAAGUUCCCAGGUAAAUUUUUGUGCAUAUUAAAGGGCUGGUGUUUUAUAGAAUUAUAUACAAUACUAUAUAAUAUAGUAAUAUAUGUAAGAGUAUAUAACAUAUGUAUAGUAUAUAUAAAUUAUAAUAUUUAUAAAUAUUGAGGACGUUCGAUGACGUUGGGCAACUUCUCCUGACAAGUGUUCACUACAGCAAUGAGAUGUCACAACGAGUGCUCUGGGAAGUUAAUUCUGCAUGAUUUGUGUACAAGGCUUGGAGCGGGAAAAGGCUGGACGAGGCAGGAGACUGCUGCAGUCAGCAAAGGAGCAGGAUAAGGUCUUUCACGGUGGUGUUUGUUAGGGAGGGGGAAGGUUCUGGAAUCACUUGAGAGAGAACUGACAACAUUCAGCAACAAAAGUUGAUGCUGUCCGCAGAAAUAAGUCAAAAGGAGGGGCCGUUUCAAAGGGGAGGGUGGAGUCCAGUCUGGGAGACAUUCAACUUGGGGGGACAAGAUACUCACAGGUGGACAAAUCCAGCAGCCAUUGGAAAGUGGAUCUGCAGCUCCAGAGAGAAGCAUCCAGACGCAGGUGUUAGAGUCGCUCACAGAGAGAUGAGACUUGACAGACCAGGACCCAGGACCGGGAGAGGAUGGCUCAGAGGUAGUGCUGGGUUUGGUUUAUGACGCCCUCGCUGCAUGUGGAAAGUUCCUGGGCUCGCAGUUAGAUCGGGUCACAGCUCUGACCUACACCACGGCUGUGGCAACACUGGAUCCUUUAAUUCACAGCACAGGGCCAGGGAUUGAACCUGCUCCUCCAUGUUGACCUGAGCCACCGCAGUCUAAUUCUUAACCCACGGCACCACAGUGGGAACUCCAAAGUUAGUGUUUUCAUUCCUUCUGAAAACUGGUCCUUUUUGGUGUGUUCCAGUAUUCCUGGAUUUCUGCUCUAGUGAUUUAAUACUUUAAACGAGAGCCUCCCCUGCUCUCCCCAGCAAAACAGGACAGAGUCGAAGUUUUGCUCUUAUCCAAAGAAUACAUCCUUUUCUGUUGUGAAGAACGGACCACCUGUCUUCAAACGAUUCCCUGCUCUUUAUAGAAUAUGUCUUGGGGCUUUGAAGACCUGGUGGUUUGAGUCCAGGUGACAGAGCAUGUCCUAAAUAAGGAAAGCCCAGGCUUGUUUUAUUGCAGUCAUUUUUCCCCUGGUCUGAGAAGAAACGAGGACACAGUUGGUGGAUCAAAAGAGAACGCUUCUGAGGCUCGAACCUGAAUAAGCCUCUCCCCGAAAGGGGAGGGAGGGGGCCUCUUUCCAAGGAUCGAAGCCCCUGAGAGCUCGCAGCCGCCGGGCCUCCCCGGCCCACGUUGCCAUUUUCCAGUCUCCUAACAGUGCGGCCUUCUCCACGGCCCCAGGGAAAGAGACCCUCUGGAAAGUGAAUGGGAGGCUUGUUCCCCAGCAGGAGUGAACUAAGACGUUGGGACCCGCCUUUUCUCUUACAUCAAGGGACCCUUUUGUCUUGAAGGACAGAACUGUCUCAGAGCAGCCCAAUGCUCCCUGCGGAAAGAGGCUCGCCACUCUCUGUGCUCUGGGCAGGACCUGCACGACCCCCUGCCCUGGCCCGGGUCAGGGUCCCCAACACCCUGGAAGCAUCGGGAAGCUGCACCGCCCUGGAACACGGGGCCAAUCAGCUACCCUGGGCUGGUGAAUGGGCACAGAGCUCUCUCUCCUUCUGAGAACUCACCUGAGACCUGGGAUCCUCUUAGAGGAUGCCAGAGAGACACAGACACCCCCCCCCCAACACGGAUGCCCCGCUCCCGAACCAAGGGUUCCACUGUGCCAUUUGUUCUCUGAGAAGAAGGUCUGCAGUUGCCCAGCGAGGGCCGGCAGGUGCUGCGUCUCUGGAGCAAACCCUCCAGUCCCUUCCACGGCAGGUGGUAAAUAGCCUUAGAACGCUGUCGUCUCAAGAGCCCAGGAGAAGCCGGCAUCCUUCUCCACUACCUUGGAGCAUCACAAAUGUGCCUUCCUCUGAACGGUAACAAGCACAGUUCCCCAGACGGAAAGUCCUUCAGGCAACUGGAGAUGCAAUAGGGCAGCUCGGCCGGGGUUGGGGGUGUCCUUCAGGACAUCGGACGACUGAGAGGGUUGGAACCGGCAUUUCUGGAAAUCUGACCCUCUUUCCCGGGGGGUUGGGGGAGUGGGGGGAUGACGUUCUGCUGUCAAAGGCUUGACAGAUGGCUCUAGAGGUGACAACAGAUGAUGGCAGGGAAAAGCAAAGAUGUGCUCCCCAGAGUGUCCGCUCCUCAAGUGCUGACUCAGGUUUUAGAUUUUGCACCUGUAACGGUGGCCACGUAGGCCACUCACAGAGGCUGUCUUGGGGGAGCAGGAAGCUGCAGAAAGAGAGGCUGUGGACCCCAUUCUCCAAGCAGAAGGAAGUGUCAAGGCAGGGGGAUUGCACGGGGAUCAAGGAGCCGGUGCCCCAUGAAUUUCUCUCCGUCCCAGCUAGGGCAUUGUCUCAGGCCCCUGGGGGUCCUCGAGGGGCCCAGUAGUGGCUGCCUUAACAUGGUGGCCUUGACCGUGUCCCAGGACACUUGGGACUGAGACUAAGUCCCAGGGGGAAAAAAAAUGUAAUGUUCCUGCAAAAAGCUCCCAAGUCUCCCAGGAGCAGCAAUAAAUCCCUGGUCAGCUUUUCUGCCCCUCAGGCCCUGAGCAAGCUACAGGAAGGGAAUGCAGAAGAUUUUAUCUGUCUCUCAGUCCUGCACACAAUGAAACGUAUCCCAGACCUGCUGGCUGCACCCUCGGAGGAAAGUCAAGAUGAAAAGGGGGGACUGAGGGUGUCAGAACCUGGGUCGUCAGCAGGCCCAAGGAUUGUCUAGGAUGAGAGAGAAGUCCAGGGGACCCUGGGACAGAGCUGAGGGUGGCCCACCCCUGCCGCUCCUUGUCAUUUACCCACCAGCCACUGAGCAAACGUCUCUUCCUGGGUGGUCCGAUCCAGUCCACGUGGGAAGGGGGGGACCAUAAGGCAGGAGGACAGGAUGACUUGAGCCCAGUGACCUUUCCCCUUAUGGCAGCGUUGAGGGUGGUCUGGUUCUCACUGGGCUGCAAAAAAGCCUCGGUGGUCCUCUUGCCCUCGGGAGGUGUUGCCUCCCUGCAGGGACUGGACUCAUACGGUCCUUCUUCCUCUGGCAGCCUGUCGACAGCAGCGUCAGGCCAUCUGCAGAGGUGUCUACAGACCACAGGACACAGAUAUGUCUAAUAACCCUCGGUGCAGCUUAGUGGCUGCCAGUGUUGUCCUCACACUCUCAGUGUGGAACCUGAGGUCCCAAAGCCGACCCCGACGUGAGGAGAUGGGUCCACCAUCAGACUAAGAAAACACUGACUAGGGUCGAGCAUUUAUGGAGCACCUAUUCCCUUCCAGAUAAGGGAUUUCCUUGGAUUUCUGAUUUCAUCCUGUAACAGCCCAGCGUUGUGGUGGACAGGACUGCCCCCAGUUUACAGACGGGGAAGCUGAGGCGCAGAGAGCGUUCACAGGAGGUCAAUAUCCUGUGAACAAGGCAGUCUGGCACCUUCUAGGCAGGGUGUUGUGUUCCUGCCACCACUGGAAGCUGGUGCAGGAUGGAUUUGAAGGGAGGUCUUAGACCGCUGAACCUGCUGAAAUGCAGACUCACACAGGCUAGGAUAUGGCCCGAGGGUCUGCAUUUUUUUAAUAAGUUCUUAGAUGACAUGGAUGCUGAUGACCUGCAGACCCCGCUGUGAGCUACUUUCUAUUAUCAGACUGUCAAAAUCCAUCUAUUCAUCUCAAAUGGCAAAAUCCAUUGCCUCCUCCCAUACACGCUACUGCCUAUGCCUGCAUGUACCUUCCUCUUCAGAUCUGCCCUAUGUUAUGGUUGCAUCGAGUAGGACAGUGACCCUUCACCAGGAAUGAAGAUAAUAAUCAUUUGGGGCGCUCUCGCCACCCACCACUCUCACCUCAAUUGCAGACCUUCUGAUUCAGUGUCUCAGAAGUGGGGCCAAGGGUGAGCACAGAGUGAGUCUCCCUCCUUUCCAGAAUAUAUCAAUCCAUCCUUCUUCUCAUCAAGACCCAAGCAGUCCACGACCUAGACCCCGGAAAUGGGCUAGCAAAAUCAGAGUUCUCCUGACUAGUGAAUCUUUAUCCUGAAUGUUUGUCCUUCCCCACCACGCCUGGAUAGGCCAACGUCUCUGCCAAUCACACAGUGUCCAUGCACACGAUUGGCUCUCCUGCCUCCAUCCCACCCCCAGCAACACCACUUCCUAGCCACAGUCUUCAUUCUCCUGCUACUUGUCAGCUUGGCCAACAGGUGUAAAUCUCAGCCUUUCUGAGAAGGCGCAAGAUCACAUCUGAUCUCACACGUUUAAGACUGAAGGAGCAGAGAUGGUUUUUCUCUCUCCUCAAAAGUCUUCGACCCAGUAGUCCAGCCCCUCUGAGCCUUGGCUGAGAAAAACGAACUCUUCAAAAAUUCUUUCACUUUAAGGAUUUUCAGAGACCAAUUCCCUAUGUGAUUAUGUUUCCCCUGACUUUUUUCUGCAUUUCCAAAGAAACCUCACAUUGAGAAAAACUAGAAAGGCAUGAUUCAGUGAUGCUCUCAGGAUCCCUCCUUCCAAAGUCUUUGUUAAUUGUACCCAGUAUCUAUAGUGAUAAAUUUCAAGACACAUGAAACAGCAGGACCCCGAAGACACUGGACUAUUGUAUUGUCCCAUUAAGUUGAAACAAUGGAGCAGAGUCUUGAGCCUGUUUCCAGGGCAACUGAAAAUGCCAGUCACAGCCAGGUGGGCUUUCUGACACUUUGUUAAAGUAGGAUUUCACAUACUUUCUUACUUCAAGAUGGAAAAGUAAAAUUAUAUGUAUUUAGAUAAAAUUACAAACAUUUUGAAUU
rnacentral:lncRNA from 9 species